CACAAUUGAAAUACAUGCACACAAAGAUCAAAAGGACUUUUAUUUGGUUGUAACGUGGCCAAGGUCCGUGAGAUAAAUCCUAAGGGACUAUGCUAAAAUUCAAAGAGAUAAAAGACACUUGAAAGAAACUGCGGGAGUUGAAUUUACAAAAUAUUUCAUUCACUUGAACAACUCUAUAGCAAUUGUUUUCUCUUCUCCUUUCUCUUUUUAUUCAUUUUUUUAGGAGGAGUAUGUAUUGAUAUGUAUUGACAUGUAUUGACAUCCUUCUAUUUUUUCAUUCAUUUUUUUCUUUUCUAUUUUCUUUUGCUAUUUUUC
rnacentral:lncRNA from 1 species